rnacentral:tRNA from 1 species
GUGGGAGUAGCUUAGUGGUAGAGCAUGUGCUUAGCAUGCACGAGGUCCUGGGUUUAAUCCCCAGUGCCUCCA